CUCUAACUCCAGAAAUGUCUAUCAACAAGAAAAUAUAGAAGGGUUAUACUAGUACUGAGAAUAGUAAAGGACUCUUCGGUCUGUGGACGCGGCAGAUAUACCUCAAAGUCUCUAUAAAAGUGUCUCGCGUCAAGUGUGGUAAGAAUGAGUGGAAGUACCCGGAUCUGCACAUGAAAAACAUGCGUGGAAAGGGCAUCAAAAAAUAUAGAAGGGUUAUACUAGCACUGAGAAUAGAAAGGGACUCUUCGGUCUGCGGACGCGGCAGAUAUACCUCAAAGUCUCUACAAAAGUGUCUCGCCUCAAGUGUGGUAAGACUGAGUGAAAGUACCCAAAUCUGCACAUGAAAAACAUGCGUUGAAAGGGCAUCAGUACACUACAGCGGUACUCAGUAAGUGUCAAGCCUAACCUCGGUCGGGUAGUAACGAAGAAAGUC
rnacentral:lncRNA from 1 species